AACCUUUUAAGUUAGAGAGCUUGGUCCAUGAGUCAGCCACGCCAUAUUUUUUCAUCACCCACAAAUCAAUGGAGCCAGCAGUAACAGCAUUUGCAUAAUCAAAUGCACAGAGACAGUCUCCGAAAGCUCCGAGCUGACCGUCUAGAAUAGGCAGCGGCAUUCUUUGGAACUCCUCCUUUGCUAGAUCAAAAGCAACGAUGCCAAGCAUUUCCUGCCAAUGAAGUGCCUCAUUUGAAAGAAUCCCCUUAUAUAUAAAGCAGCGGUCGAAGGGAGGAGGGGCUUCAGUCCUUUUCCAAGUGUUGGCUUUUGAUGAGAAGAUGUGCAUCUCCUUGCUCUUCACCUCAUCAACAAGACUGCCUCUGAAGCUGGCAAUAACUUUGUAGUCGUCAGUGGCCGACAAAUAGCCAAAACCAAAGCAGUGUAAUUUUGAGAACCGAUCAGCUGGGUCAGGAAGUUUUUUGAAGAAUUGAGUUGAUGGGUUCCAGAUAAACAUUUUGUUUUCUUGAUCAUAAAGUGCUGCCAAUAUCAAGCCAUUGCAGGAGCACAGUAUCGUCACUGGAUGUUGCGUCAAUGGGCACCUAACCUUUCUCAGCACCAAAGAAGUUUCUCCCAACGGCGACGGCGGCGGCGUGUCCAAGUCUAGUGAGUUGAACUCGUCUACCGAAUUGAACGAUUCAGAUAUAGAUACGGUGCAGAUGAGGAGCCUGUGACAGAGGGUUUGGUGGUGAGAAGCUAUUUGGAAUUGGGACAUGGCGAAUUCUGGGUCGGAUAAUAUGAUGAAACGCCAGCGUUUCGAAACGCAGGUGAAGCGGAUUAGGGAUUUGAUCGGCAACCUCUGCAUGAUUCGAACUAUCACGUCCUCGGGUAGGUAAUCCGCCAUUUGCAAAUUGGGUGCAAAUAAAUGAUGGUUUAGCUUCCGCGCGUUUCAGUUUUCUGUUUUCCUUUCUUCAUAUAGCAACAGUUGGCACAGUGAGAGAUGUGCAGAUCAUCUCAUUGUGACUUGAGACAAAUGACGAGCCAAUUGGAGGAGAACACGUUCACGAAUAUAACGUCUGCGACUUUGCGUUGUUACAACUGUCCAGCCGUCUGGCACUCUGGGACGUUAUCUAUUUUUAUAAAAAAAAAAAAGGAAACGGGGGGCGGCACUUUCGUCUUGGGAGACGACUCCGAUGUUGAGGACGGCUGUGAAGAUGAUGGCAGCGGCGGCAUGGUGGCUACGGUGCCCAGCCAUCUGGGAGUCCAUAGCCACCUCAUAUGGUUUUGGGCUUCCAAACUUGUUGGGGUUGGGAGGCUUGGGUUGGGUGCAAGGAAAUUAUGGUUUAGCUUCUGUAGUUUCGCCCUGUGCUUUUCCUUCUCCUUUUCCAAACCACACUUGGAUAGUUUUCUGUUUUUUUUUUAACCUCAUAUAGCACGAGUUGGGUCUUAUUUGUCGUGCUACUGUGCUAAAUCCAAUUAUAUAUAAAUUCACUCUCCAUUUUACAAUC